rnacentral:rRNA from 1 species
UCGAACGGACUCAUACUGAAACCUAGUGAUCUAUGAGUUAGUGGCGGACCGGUGAGUAACACGUGAGCAACCUGCCUUUGAGAGGGGAAUAACGGCUGGAAACGGUCGCUAAUACCGCAUAACGUACGGAUGGGACAUCCUGUCUGUACCAAAGAUUUAUCGCUCGAAGAUGGGCUCGCGUCCGAUUAGGUAGUUGGUGAGGUAACGGCCCACCAAGCCGACGAUCGGUAGCCGGACUGAGAGGUUGAACGGCCACAUUGGGACUGAGACACGGCCCAGACUCCUACGGGAGGCAGCAGUGGGGGAUAUUGCACAAUGGGGGAAACCCUGAUGCAGCGACGCCGCGUGUGGGAAGACGGUCUUCUGGAUCGUAAACCACUGUCCCCAGGGACGAAAAUGACGGUACCUGGGGAGGAAGCUCCGACUAACUACGUGCCAGCAGCCGCGGUAAUACGUAGGGAGCAAGCGUUGUCCGGAAUUACUGGGUGUAAAGGGAGCGUAGGCGAGGAUGCAAGUUGGGUGUCAAAACUACCGGCUCAACCGAUAGUCGCACUCAAAACUGCAGCUCUUGAGUGAAGUAGAGGCAGGCGGAAUUCCUAGUGUAGCGGUGAAAUGCGUAGAUAUUAGGAGGAACACCAGUGGCGAAGGCGGCCUGCUGGGCUUUUACUGACGCUGAGGCUCGAAAGUGUGGGGAGCAAACAGGAUUAGAUACCCUGGUAGUCCACACCGUAAACGAUGAUUACUAGGUGUG